rnacentral:rRNA from 1 species
AUUGAACGCUGGCGGAAUGCUUUACACAUGCAAGUCGAACGGUAGAGGGGGUAACCCCUUGAGAGUGGCGAACGGGUGAGUAAUACAUCGGAACAUGCCCAGUCGUGGGGGAUAACGUAGCGAAAGCUACGCUAAUACCGCAUACGAUCUAUGGAUGAAAGCGGGGGACCGUAAGGCCUCGCGCGACUGGAGUGGCCGAUGGCAGAUUAGGUAGUUGGUGGGGUAAAGGCCUACCAAGCCUGCGAUCUGUAGCUGGUCUGAGAGGACGACCAGCCACACUGGGACUGAGACACGGCCCAG